CCGCUGAAUUUAAGCAUAUAAAUAAGCGGUGGAAAAGAAACCAAACGGGAUACCCUGAGUAAUGGCGAACGAAAAGGGUAGAGCUCAGCGCUAAGUCCUGUCGUCAUUGGGCGUACAGGAGGUGCAGCGUGAAAGUAGCAGUGCAUCGUGCUAAGUCUGUCGCAAUGCAAGUUCCUCUGACAAGGACUCUUCCAUAGCGGGUGCUAGGCCCAUAGCGUUGCGAGACUCUGCGCGCAAACUGUUGCUUACUAGAGUCAGGUUGCUUGAGAGUGCAGCCUAAAGUAGGUGGUAAACUCCACCUAAGGCUAAAUAUUACAGCGAGACCGAUAGCAAACAAGUACCGUGAGGGAAAGUUGCAAAGAACUUUGAAUGAGAGAGUU
rnacentral:rRNA from 1 species